rnacentral:rRNA from 1 species
GAUGAACGCUGGCGGCGUGCUUAACACAUGCAAGUCGAACGGAAAGGCCCUGCUUUUGUGCGGUGCUCGAGUGGCGAACGGGUGAGUAACACGUGAGUAUCCUGCCCUUGACUUUGGGAUAACUUCAGGAAACUGGGGCUAAUACCGGAUAGGAGCUCCUGCUGCGUGGUGGGGGUUGGAAAGUUUCGGCGGUUGUGGAUGGACUCGCGGCUUAUCAGCUUGUUGGUGGGGUAGUGGCUUACCAAGGCUUUGAAGGGUAGGCCGCCUGAGAGGGGGGACGGCCACAUGGGGACUGCGAUACGGCGCAGACGCCUACGGGAGGCAACAGUGGGGAAUAUUGCACAAUGGGCGGAAGCCUGAGACAGCAACGCCGCGUGCGGGAUGACGGCCUUUGGGUUGUAAACCGCUGUCGCCUGUGACGAAGCGUGAGUGACGGUAACGAGUAAAGAAGCACCGGCUAACUACGUG